rnacentral:rRNA from 1 species
GUGGGGAAUAUUGCGCAAUGGACGAAAGUCUGACGCAGCGACGCCGCGUGGGGGAUGAAGGUCUUCGGAUUGUAAACCCCUUUCGGCAGGGAAGAUGGAACGGGUAACCGUUCGGACGGUACCUGCAGAAGCAGCCACGGCUAACUUCGUGCCAGCAGCCGCGGUAAUACGAAGGUGGCAAGCGUUGUUCGGAUUCACUGGGCGUACAGGGAGCGUAGGCGGUUGAGUAAGCCCUCCGUGAAAUCUCCGGGCCUAACCCGGAAAGUGCAGAGGGGACUGCUCGGCUAGAGGAUGGGAGAGGAGCGCGGAAUUCCCGGUGUAGCGGUGAAAUGCGUAGAGAUCGGGAGGAAGGCCGGUGGCGAAGGCGGCGCUCUGGAACAUUUCUGACGCUGAGGCUCGAAAGCGUGGGGAGCAAACAGGAUUAGAUACCCCUGUAGUCC